rnacentral:rRNA from 1 species
CCGGUGACUAUGGCCAGAGGGUCACACCUGUUCCCAUCCCGAACACAGAAGUUAAGCCUCUGAUGCGCCUAUGGUACUGCCGGGCUUCCCGGUGGGAGAGUGGGUCGUCGCCGGAA